UACGUAGGUGGCAAGCGUUGUCCGGAUUUAUUGGGUUUAAAGGGUGCGUAGGUGGUGAGGAAAGUCGGAUGUGAAAUCUCCAAGCUUAACUUGGAAACUGCAUUGGAAACUACCUUGCUUGAGGUUUGGAGGGGGGACUGGAGUACUUGGUGUAGCAGUGAAAUGCGUAGAUAUCAAGUGGAACACCAGUGGCGAAGGCGAGUCCCUGGACAACACCUGACACUGAGGCACGAAAGCCGGGGGAGCAAACAGG
rnacentral:rRNA from 1 species